rnacentral:rRNA from 1 species
UUCAAGGGUCCUCCCGCUUUGGGUGGAACCAGCGGAGGGAUCAUUACUGA